rnacentral:rRNA from 1 species
CCGCGGUAAUACGUAGGGCGCAAGCGUUGUCCGGAAUUAUUGGGCGUAAAGAGCUCGUAGGCGGUUUGUCGCGUCUGCUGUGAAAGCCCGGGGCUUAACCCCGGGUGUGCAGUGGGUACGGGCAGACUAGAGUGCAGUAGGGGAGACUGGAAUUCCUGGUGUAGCGGUGGAAUGCGCAGAUAUCAGGAGGAACACCGAUGGCGAAGGCAGGUCUCUGGGCUGUUACUGACGCUGAGGAGCGAAAGCAUGGGGAGCGAACAGGAUUAGAUACCCUGGUAGUCCAUGCCGUAAACGUUGGGCACUAGGUGUGGGGGACAUUCCACGUUUUCCGCGCCGUAGCUAACGCAUUAAGUGCCCCGCCUGGGGAGUACGGCCGCAAGGCUAAAACUCAAAGGAAUUGACGGGGGCCCGCACAAGCGGCGGAGCAUGCGGAUUAAUUCGAUGCAACGCGAAGAACCUUACCAAGGCUUGACAUAUACCGGAUCGUUCCAGAGAUGGUUCUUCCCCUUUGGGGUCGGUAUACAGGUGGUGCAUGGUUGUCGUCAGCUCGUGUCGUGAGAUGUUGGGUUAAGUCCCGCAACGAGCGCAACCCUCGUUCCAUGUUGCCAGCACGUGAUGGUGGGGACUCAUGGGAGACUGCCGGGGUCAACUCGGAGGAAGGUGGGGAUGACGUCAAAUCAUCAUGCCCCUUAUGUCUUGGGCUUCACGCAUGCUACAAUGGCCGGUACAAAGGGUUGCGAUACUGUGAGGUGGAGCUAAUCCCAAAAAGCCGGUCUCAGUUCGGAUUGAGGUCUGCAACUCGACCUCAUGAAGUCGGAGUCGCUAGUAAUC